GACAGAGGGUGCAAACGUUGUUCGGAAUUACUGGGCGUAAAGGGCGCGUAGGCGGUACUUCAAGUCAGGCGUGAAAGCCCCGGGCUCAACCUGGGAACCGCGCUUGAGACUGGAGAACUAGAGUUCGGGAGAGGAUGGUGGAAUUCCCAGUGUAGAGGUGAAAUUCGUAGAUAUUGGGAAGAACACCGAAUGGCGAAGGCAGCCAUCUGGACCGACACUGACGCUGAGGCGCGAAA
rnacentral:rRNA from 1 species